rnacentral:rRNA from 1 species
UACGUAGGGGGCAAGCGUUGUCCGGAUUUAUUGGGCGUAAAGAGCGUGUAGGCGGCCAAACAGGUCAGCUGUGAAACUCGAGGCUCAACCUCGAGACGUCGGUUGAAACCGUUUGGCUAGAGUCCGGAAGAGGAGAGUGGAAUUCCCGGUGAUAGCGGUGAAAUGCGCAGAUAUCGGGAAGAACACCCGUGGCGAAGGCGGCUCUCUGGGACGGUACUGACGCUGAGACGCGAAAGCGUGGGGAGCGAACAGG